rnacentral:rRNA from 1 species
UACGUAGGGUGCAAGCGUUAAUCGGAAUUACUGGGCGUAAAGCGUGCGCAGGCGGUUUGUAAGUUUGUCGUGAAAGCCCCGGGCUCAACCUGGGAAUGCGAUGAAGACUGCAAGGCUUGAAUCUGGCAGAGGGGGGUAGAAUUCCACGUGUAGCAAGUGAAAUGCGUAGAGAUGUGGAGGAACACCGAUGGCGAAGGCAGCCCCCUGGGUCAAGAUUGACGCUCGAUGCACGAAAGCGUGGGGAGCAAACAGG